GAUGAACGCUGGCGGCGUGCCUAAUACAUGCAAGUCGAGCGAACAGACGAGGAGCUUGCUCCUCUGACGUUAGCGGUGGACGGGUGAGUAACACGUGGAUAACCUACCUAUAAGACUGGGAUAACUUCGGGAAACCGGAGCUAAUACCGGAUAACAUGUUGAACCGCAUGGUUCAACAGUGGAAGACGGUCUUGCUGUCACUUAUAGAUGGAUCCGCGCCGCAUUAGCUAGUUGGUAAGGUAACGGCUUACCAAGGCAACGAUGCGUAGCCGACCUGAGAGGGUGAUCGGCACCACUGGACCUGAGACACGGUCCAGACUCCUACGGGAGGCAGCAGUAGGGAAUCUUCCGCAAUGGGCGAAAGCCUGACGGAGCAACGCCGCGUGAGUGAAGAAGGUCUUCGGAUCGUAAAACUCUGUUAUUAGGGAAGAACAAAUGUGUGAGUAACUAUGCACGUCUUGACGGUACCUAAUCAGAAAGCCACGGCUAACUACGUGCCAGCCGCCGCCGUAA
rnacentral:rRNA from 1 species